CAGGAAAAAGUGGCGACCUUUCGACUCAUGUUGCUGGAGAAGGAUGUGAACCCUGGGGGCAAGGAGGAGACCCCAGGGCAGAGGCCAGCGUCACGGAGACUCACCAGUUGGCAGAAUUAAAUGAGAAGAAGAAUGAAAGACUCCGUGCUGCCUUUGGCAUCAGUGAUUCUUACGUAGAUGGCAGCUCUUUUGAUCCUCAGCGUCGUGCCCGAGAAGCUAAACAACCAGCUCCUGAGCCUCCCAAACCUUACAGCUUGUUCGGGAGUCUAGCAGUUCUCGCUCACCAACCCC
rnacentral:lncRNA from 1 species